CCAAUAGCGUAUAUUAAAGUUGUUGCAGUUAAAAAGCUCGUAGUUGAAUUUCGGGAUCAAUAUGUUGGUCGUGCCUCGGUACGUACUAGCUUAUUGGUUUCUCCUUUCUGAAGAACCAUGAUGUCAUUUAUUUGGUGUCGUGGGGAAUCAGGACUGUUACUUUGAAAAAAUUAGAGUGUUUAAAGCAGGCUCACGCUUGAAUACAUUAGCAUGGAAUAAUGAAAUAGGACGUUUGAUUCUAUUUUGUUGGUUUCUAGGAUCGACGUAAUGAUUAAUAGGGAUAGUUGGGGGCAUUAGUAUUCAAUUGUCAGAGGUGAAAUUCUUGGAUUUAUUGAAGACUAACUACUGCGAAAGCAUUUGCCAAGGAUGUUUUCAUUAAUUAAGAACGAAAGUUAGGGGAUCGAAGACGAUCAGAUACCGUCGUAGUCUUAACCAUAAACUAUGCCGACUAGGGAUCGGAUGAUGUUAAUUUUUUAAUGACUCAUUCGGCGCCUUAC
rnacentral:rRNA from 1 species